rnacentral:rRNA from 1 species
CAAGGCUUGACAUACACCGGAAACGGCCAGAGAUGGUCGCCCCCUUGUGGUCAGUGUACAGGUGGUGCAUGGUUGUCGUCAGCUCGUGUCGUGAGAUGUUGGGUUAAGUCCCGCAACGAGCGCAACCCUCGCUCUAUGUUGCCAGCGCGUUAUGGCGGGGACUCAUAGGAGACUGCCGGGGUCAACUCGGAGGAAGGUGGGGAUGACGUCAAAUCAUCAUGCCCCUUAUGUCUUGGGCUUCACGCAUGCUACAAUGGCCGGUACAAAGGGCUGCGAUACCGUAAGGUGGAGCGAAUCCCAAAAAGCCGGUCUCAGUUCGGAUUGAGGUCUGCAACUCGACCUCAUGAAGUCGGAGUCGCUAGUAAUCGCAGAUCAGCAACGCUGCGGUGAAUA